rnacentral:misc_RNA from 1 species
GUAUAAGGUUUAUAGGCACUUAGGCCCAAUGAUACAUUCUGUUACAUACUAUGGGUAUAUGAAAAAAACGUAGGCUUGGAAGUGCAAAGAAAGCCGACGCAAAUAGCGCAGCAUUCCUCCCGACCGAGUUACCUCGGAAAAUUCAUCCAGGUCUACAAGAGGUGCACAGGUGGAGAGAUGGAGAUGGCGGGUGUGCACAUGCCCCCGAGAGGGCCAGCAACAACCACGCCAAGUUCAUUCAAUAAUGAUCCUUCCGCAGGUUCACCUACGGAAA